GGACUUGAACCCCACCUCCCCGCGUCGAGCGCUCGCUUAUCUCUCCAGGGACUUGAACAUCUGGACUGGGACUCAAACCCAGACUGGAACUCAAACCCAGACAACCCGGAUCCUGCACAAACUCUGGACUGGGACUUAAACCCAGACCUAAGUUGUCAGAGACUCGAACCCUGACAACCUGGACCCUACUCAACAGGGCAUAAAGCGUACCAGGAAGCAAGACAGCAAUGGUCUAAUCUAAUACAACACAUCUCUCAUGUGCCAAAGGGUUUGUGUCUGCUGGGACUAAAGAAUCAACGUUAGCCCAAACACUGAAUUUGCUGGCAAGAGGGAGCUUUCAGGAUGGCAGCAGAAGUGGAACUCAACCACUUCCAAUCAGCAUCUGAAAUGGCAGAAGGAGAGGAUGACGAACACGUUUUUCAACCCAUGAUGUUCCUGGAGCCUCAAGAGAUGAACAUUGCUAUGAAGGCACUUCUGGUCAAGAAAGUGAAGAAAACUUGCAGCUGCACCCCAACCAAAGUUAAAGACCUGAUUUUCAGUUUUCUCCCUGUCUUGCAGUGGCUCCCCAAAUAUAAACUGAGGGAGUACGUCCUGGGAGAUAUAAUGUCUGGGGUGAUAGUGGGCAUCCUGCUGGUCCCCCAGUCCAUUGCCUAUUCCCUGUUGGCUGGCCAGGAACCUAUAUAUGGUCUUUACACAUCCUUUUUUGCCAGCAUUAUUUAUUUCCUAUUUGGUACCUCUCGUCAUAUAUCAGUUGGUAUUUUUGGUGUGCUUUGCCUGAUGGUGGGACAGGUGGUGGAUCGUGAGGUACAGAGAGCUGGGUAUGACAUAGAGCCCAGUGUUCAUAGUGGCCUUCAGAGAGAGAUGGUCAUUUAUGUAAAUACCACCACUUUGGCUGUGAACCAGACAUCACAAUUGCUGUUAUGUGAUAGAAGUUGCUAUGCAAUUACUGUGGGAGCCACGGUGACCUUCAUAGCUGGAGUUUAUCAGGUUGCUAUGGGCUUCUUUCAGGUGGGCUUUGUCUCAGUGUACCUCUCUGAUUCCUUACUCAGCGGAUUCGUCACAGGUGCCUCCUUUACUAUCCUAACUUCCCAAGUGAAGUAUCUCCUGGGCCUGGACAUUCCACGCAGCAAUGGCAUUGGCUCCCUCAUAACCACUUGGAUAAACAUCUUCAAAAACAUCCACAAGACCAACAUCUGCGACCUCAUCACCAGCUUCUUGUGUCUUCUUGUCCUCAUCCCAACCAAAGAGCUGAAUGAGCAUUUUAAAUCCAGGCUCAAGGCCCCCAUACCUAUUGAACUGGUCGUGGUUGUGGCAGCUACGCUGGCAUCUCACUUUGGGAAGCUGAAGGAGAAUUAUGGCUCCAGUGUUGCUGGACACAUUCCAACUGGGUUCCUGCCACCCCAGCCACCCAAAUGGGAUCUGAUUCCUAGUGUGGCGAUGGAUGCUCUUGCCAUAGCCAUUAUUGGCUUCGCUAUUACUGUGUCCCUCUCAGAGAUGUUCGCCAAGAAGCAUGGUUACACAGUUAAGGCCAAUCAGGAAAUGUACGCCAUUGGCUUUUGCAACAUUAUUCCCUCUUUCUUCCACUGCUUCACAACUAGUGCAGCUCUUGCCAAGACUCUUGUCAAAGAGUCAACGGGCUGCAGAACUCAGAUCUCUGGGGUGGUGACCGCGUUGGUCAUCCUAUUAGUUCUGCUUUUGAUUGCACCUCUCUUCUACUCCCUUCAGAAAUGUGUCCUGGGGGUCAUAACCAUUGUGAACCUCAGAGGAGCCCUGCGGAAGUUCAGGGAUCUGCCCAAAAUGUGGCACCUGAGCAAAGUGGACACAGUGAUCUGGUUAGUUACAAUGGCCGCUUCGGCACUGCUCAGUACUGAAAUUGGUCUGCUGAUUGGUGUCUGCUUCUCAAUGCUGUGUGUCAUUGUGAGGACUCAGAGACCAGAGGCACCAUUGCUCGGCUGGAUGGUAGAGACUGAAAUAUAUGAAUCCCUGUUUGCCUACAAAAACCUGAAGACUAAGCCAGGCAUCGUGGUUUUCCGUUUCGAAGCGCCUCUCUACUAUAUCAACAAAGAAUGCUUUAAAUCCACUCUGUAUAAGCGGACUGGAGUCAACCCAGCCUGGGUGAAGGCAGCCAAGAAAAAGGCAUCAAAGCGAAUGCUUAAAGAGACAAUGGUGAAUUCUGGUGGCAACCAGGCAGACGUCACAGUGCAGCUUGUCACCGAGCCACUGGUGUUUCACACCCUAGUGAUUGACUGCUGCGCAAUACAGUUCUUGGACACAGCUGGGAUCCACACGCUUAAAGAGAUCUGCAAAGAUUAUGGAGAGAUAGGCAUCCAGGUGCUGCUGGCCCAGUGCAAUACCUCUGUGAGGAGUUCCCUGCACCGGGGAGAGUACUUUAAAAAAGAGGAACAGAACCUCCUCUUCCACAGUGUGCACCAGGCCGUGGACUUUGCAUUGGGUGCACAUACGCAAAGUGGGUGCCGGGAAGGCAACAAUUGUGUGUAGGAUCAGGGGAAAAAAUUGUGAAUGUGUACGUAAUGUGCAUGCACUCACACAGGUAAAAUGCACCAAAGUACAGGAUAUUGUUAAAAACCUAGUGUAGAGCAUACAGUGUGCUUUAAUGCUUUAAUCUUGUCCUACUGGAUAGGGUGAUUAGGUAAGGAGUGCUGAAUAUAGGCAUCCUCAAUGUGAUCAUGAUUAACAUAUUUAACCAAUGUUUUUCAUGAUCCUUCUAUGUUGGGUUCUCCAUAUCCCAGUAUUUACCCCACAUUUAGAUCUGCAUUCCUGAGAACCUUAUUACAGCUAUCAUCUUUCUGGGUCGGACUUCCUUUGACAGCUGUCAGUGUUCCCCCUUAGUGAAUAGUUUGAGGCAACUACACUUUUCCUCCCCAGUUCCAGGACCGGGCAUGCUGCCUCCAUAUCACUCAGCUGGCCAAAGAAUGAGUGAGCGGGAACAGAUACCCAGCUCUGUUGGGUUGUUCUCUGACAUGACAAUGGAGAGCGUUUUCUGCUGGAUGAGGACCUGGGCCUGACUUUCGCAAAGAGUUACAAUCACUCUGAGAAAAAGGAAGUGCUUCUUCCAGCUUGUUGGAAAGAGCCUUUGAUAUGACGUGGGUCAAGCAUUCUCCAUUGUCGGUGUGCUAUCGCUGAGAAGUCUCGAUUGUACAUGGUUCCUGGGAUAGUCCUUGGAUGUGUGGAUUCCUUUCAUGGGUCGUCAGAACAUCUGGCUCUUCCAUUGUUGCACUUGAAAGGCUGGUUGUAGGUGUUCCCAACCUUACAACAUAUUUCAGUAACACACACAUAGCAAAACUUCAUAACUUCCCAUACAAUGAUAGCAUAUACAAUCCAAGAGGAUAUUAAUGUUCAACAGGUCAAGACUUUUAAAAUGAUACCUCACAAGGCAUACUUUGUACAAAAAUAUCAUAAUUAUAUGGCAGUGGUGAAUAUGGGGGUUCCAGGGUACUGUUUUGGGGCACAGUGGGCCACAAUGAGAGAGUCAGAUCUAGAAUGAAUGGUGGAUCUGAAUUAAACCUCAUGCUUCAGGGGUACAGUGAUCAGGAUGAGACCUAAUGUCAGACCCACAUCUGCCUAAUGCAUCUUGUACUGGCCACUAUCAGAGACAGGAUACUGGAUGGGAUAGCCCUUGGGUCUGAUCCAGUCUGGCAAUUCUGAUGCUCCUAUCUCAUAAUGAGAAACAUUUGGAAAGAGCUAGUAAAAUGAUCAGUGUAAUGCACAAUGACACAGAAUCCUGUUAUUGAUAAGGGCCCUAUUUAUUUACAAUGUCUCUGCUAAGUGCCUCCAUUGUUCUUUCCCUCUUUGGUCAUCUCCUUCAAAAAAAUAAAAAAAUAAAUCCUCA